GAAAUGCGAUACGUAGUGUGAAUUGCAGAAUUCCGUGAACCAUCGAAUCUUUGAACGCAUAUUGCACUCGCGGCUUCGGCCAAGAGUAUGUCUGCCUCAGCGUCGGUUUGACCCCUCACCCCUCAUUCACUUGUGGAUGCAGUGCAGCUGGCUACGGCCUGGCUUGCCCGGGGUGGAUCUGACAUUCCCACAUGCUCAGGCGUGUGGGUCUGUUGAAGCACAGUGGCAUUGCAAGGUCCCUAUAUGGGCACAACUGGAUAACGUGGUAUUCACUGCGCGAAAGUUGUUGUCUUGGAGCCUUGACUGCUGCCAACCAAGGAAACAAUCAAUCAUUCGACCUGAGCUCAGGCAAGAUUACCCGCUGAACUUAA
rnacentral:misc_RNA from 1 species